rnacentral:rRNA from 1 species
AUUAUAAAAAGGAAGGGGCUAAGGACUGCGGAGGACAUUAGUGAAUAUUAGGGCGUCCAACUUAACUUGGAGCCCGAACUCUCACUUUCUAACCCUGUGCAUCUGUUUCUGGUCAGUAGCUCUCUCGGGAGUGAACGCCAUUCACUUAAAACACAAAGUCUAUGAAUGUAUAAAAUUUAUAACAAAACAAAACUUUCAACAACGGAUCUCUUGGCUCUCGCAUCGAUGAAGAACGCAGCGAAAUGCGAUAAGUAAUGUGAAUUGCAGAAUUCAGUGAAUCAUCGAAUCUUUGAACGCACCUUGCGCUCUCUGGUAUUCCGGAGAGCAUGCCUGUUUGAGUGUCAUGAAAUCUUCAACCCUCUCUUUUCUUAGUGAAUCGAGAGGUGCUUGGAUCCUGAGCGCUGCUGGCUUCGGCCUAGCUCGUUCGUAAUGCAUUAGCAUCCGCAAUCGAACUUCGGAUUGACUUGGCGUAAUAGACUAUUCGCUGAGGAUUCUGGUCUCGUACCAGAGCCGGGUUGGGUUAAAGGAAGCUUCUAAUCCUAAAAGUCUAACUUUUGAUUAGAUCUCACAUCAGGUAGGACUACCCGCUGAACUUAAGCAUAUCAAUAAGCGGAGGAAAAGAAACUAACAAGGAUUCCCCUAGUAGCGGCGAGCGAAGCGGGAAGAGCUCAAAUUUAUAAUCUGGCACUUUCAGUGUCCGAGUUGUAAUCUCUAGAAGUGUUUUCCGCGUUGGACCGCACACAAGUCUGUUGGAAUACAGCGGCACAGUGGUGACACCCCCGUACACGGUGCGGACGCCCAGCGCUUUGUGAUACACUUUCGAAGAGUCGAGUUGUUUGGGAAUGCAGCUCAAAUUGGGUGGUAAAUUCCAUCUAAAGCUAAAUAUUGGCGAGAGACCGAUAGCGAACAAGUACCGUGAGGGAAAGAUGAAAAGCACUUUGGAAAGAGAGUUAACAGUACGUGAAAUUGUUGGAAGGGAAACGCUUGAAGUCAGACUUGCUUGCCGGAGCUUGCUUCGGUUUGCAGGCCAGCAUCAGUUUUCCGGGGUGGAUAAUGGCGGUUAGAAGGUAGCAGCUUCAGCUGUGUUAUAGCUUUCCGCUGGAUACAUCCUGGGGGACUGAGGAACGCAGCGUGCUUUUAGCGGGGGUUUCGACCUCUCACGCUAGGAUGACUGGUAGCAGGGGG